UACGGAAGGCAGCAGUGGGGAAUAUUGCACAAUGGGCGAAAGCCUGAUGCAGCUAUGCCGCGUGUAUGAAGAAGGCCUUAGGGUUGUAAAGUACUUUCAUCGGGGAGGAAAAACAAAACUAAUAAUUUUAUUUCUUGACGUUACCCGAAAAAGAAGCACCGGCUAACUCCGUGCCAGCAGCCGCGGUAAUACGGAGGGUGCUAGCGUUAAUCAGAAUUACUGGGCGUAAAGAGCACGUAGGUGGUUUUUUUAAGUCAGAUGUGAAAUCCCUGGGCUUUAACCUAGGAACUGCAUUUUGAAACUGAAAUACUAGAGUAUCGUAGAGGGAGGUAGGAAUUCUAGGUGUAGCGGUGAAAUGCGUAGAUAUCUGGAGGAAUACCUGUGGCGAAAGCGGCCUCCUAAACGAAUACUGACACUGAGGUGCGAAAGCGUGGGGAGCAAACAGGAUUAGAUACC
rnacentral:rRNA from 1 species